rnacentral:rRNA from 1 species
UACGGGGGGGGCAAGCGUUGCUCGGAAUUACUGGGCGUAAAGGGCGCGUAGGCGGCCUGCUAAGUCGAACGUGAAAUCCCUGGGCUCAACCCAGGAACUGCGUCCGAUACUGGUUGGCUUGAAUCCGGGAGAGGGAUGCGGAAUUCCAGGUGUAGCGGUGAAAUGCGUAGAUAUCUGGAGGAACACCGGUGGCGAAGGCGGCAUCCUGGACCGGCAUUGACGCUGAGGCGCGAAAGCCAGGGGAGCAAACGGG